rnacentral:misc_RNA from 1 species
CCCUUCUCUGGGGCCUUCACAAUCUCAUCUGCUGUUCCCAUCAUCAUCAAUUUUUGACCCUCCUUCACUCCUAAUGUUGCCCAAUCAGCAUCAUCCUUCAAUAAACCACCCUUAACCAUAAUUUUUUGCCUCUCAGGGGGUACUCCUGUCAGAUCAUACAACUGGCACUUGAAAACGUAAGGGGGCUGGCUCAUGUCGAUCUCCACUUUCGGAAAGACCUCCUUUUGCCAUUUUACGCUCACUGUGAGCAUGAUUGAUAGGUUAUUUGAGGGAUCAACGGAUAUAGCGCGGUGUGGAUUUUGAGAUUGUGUCUGUGCCUUUGGCUUGCUUGCGGAAAGGGGAAAAUCAGCUUUGAGAGUUCUAGUGAUUUGGAUUUUAAGCUUUA